rnacentral:pre_miRNA from 1 species
CUAGAAAUCACUUGGGGAUUGUGUUAGGAUGCAGAAUCUGAUUCAAUAGGUCUUGGGUAGGCCUGAGAGUCUGCAUUUCUAAUAAGCUCCCAAGUGAUGCUGAU